UACGUAGGGGGCGAGCGUUAUCCGGAUUUACUGGGCGUAAAGCGCGUUAAGGCGGUUGGCAAAGUUGGUUGUGAAAUCUCUGGGCUCAACCCAGAAAUUGCGACCAAUACUGGUCGACUAGAGUGCAAGAGAGGAAGGUGGAAUUCCCGGUGUAGUAGUGAAAUGCGUAGAUAUCGGGAGGAACACCAGUGGCGAAGGCGGCCUUCUGGCUUGCAACUGACGCUGUAGCGCGAAAGCGUGGGGAGCGAACCGG
rnacentral:rRNA from 1 species